GGCCCAGACUCCUACGGGAGGCAGCAGUGGGGAAUAUUGCACAAUGGGCGAAAGCCUGAUGCAGCGACGCCGCGUGAGGGAUGACGGCCUUCGGGUUGUAAACCUCUUUCAGCAGGGAAGAAGCGAAAGUGACGGUACCUGCAGAAGAAGCGCCGGCUAACUACGUGCCAGCAGCCGCGGUAAUACGUAGGGCGCAAGCGUUGUCCGGAAUUAUUGGGCGUAAAGAGCUCGUAGGCGGCUUGUCACGUCGGUUGUGAAAGCCCGGGGCUUAACCCCGGGUCUGCAGUCGAUACGGGCAGGCUAGAGUGUGGUAGGGGAGAUCGGAAUUCCUGGUGUAGCGGUGAAAUGCGCAGAUAUCAGGAGGAACACCGGUGGCGAAGGCGGAUCUCUGGGCCAUUACUGACGCUGAGGAGCGAAAGCGUGGGGAGCGAACAGGAUUAGAUACCCUGGUAGUCCACGCCGUAAACGUUGGGAACUAGGUGUUGGCGACAUUCCACGUCGUCGGUGCCGCAGCUAACGCAUUAAGUUCCCCGCCUGGGGAGUACGGCCGCAAGGCUAAAACUCAAAGGAAUUGACGGGGGCCCGCACAAGCAGCGGAGCAUGUGGCUUAAUUCGACGCAACGCGAAGAACCUUACCAAGGCUUGACAUACAC
rnacentral:rRNA from 1 species